AGCUGGUCUGAUGGUAGUGGGUUAUCAGAACCUAUUAACAUUAGUGUCACUAAAGUUGAUACACAACUCUGCACUGCUAAAUUUAACUGGCUUAAA
ensembl:misc_RNA Y_RNA Y RNA